AAAGGGUGAUCAGGUUUCCCGUAGGUUCCGAAGACGGUGUCCAACCAAUCCUCUUGGGCGAAACUUGUGAUCAGCUGCAGAUUUCAGUCUAUCAGAAUCACUUGGAAGAGAUCAAACCGGUGCGACCAAAUCAUCGGUACGUACCUUUUCUAAACUCGUUGAAGCAAUACAGGUUUAAGAUUGUUAAUGAAUAAUUUAUUAUACUCGUAUAUAUAACCUUCAAAAACUUUGAUAAUUUUCUUUGAAUAAGAAUAUUUUAAGCCUAAAAACUAGCUCACUUUUUAAUAAAAAAAUAGAUUUUCAUCCGCCUUUUAAAACGCCGAGAUUGUUGUUUAGUGUUUAACAAAAUUUUAGUUUUGUCAUUAUUAUUAUUUAACAGUCAAAGGUGGUAAGAUAAUUAAUUCAAUUCUCUUUGUAGCCAAGUGAAGAGAAUUGAACAUUACCCUUUGUUGUACUUGUCUGCUACGAAACUGAGAUUCUUUUUUCUGCACGAAUCAUAAAUAAAAGCUGCAUAUUUUACUUGAAAGUACAUGGACUUAAAUCCGAGCAUAAACCUCCGGAUUUGUAAAUACUAAUCCGAAAUUUUUUAAAAAUAUGCAUAUUUUACUUGAAUUUAUAAAUACUACAUGGAUUUCUAAAUCAAUCAAAAUAUAUAAACCAAUAAGAUAUCUUGACUUAUGAUUUGUAGCCAAUGAAAGGGUAUUUUCUUUUCUAGUUUGUGUUUGGUAAUAACACUCUGCUUUGUGUCCACAUAUUUGUUUCUUUUCUAGGUAAAAUUAUUGUGUUCUGUUUGUUUUAUUAAAAUAUAUAGUAACCGUUUUAAUUAGAGUAGGGGCUAAAAUGGUUCUUGACACUAAAUGUGUAUCAUAUAUUGAAUGUGUAUUAUUAGAAUCCAUUUGUAGAAAAAUACCCUUAAUGAGAAGUCCAUAAAUAAUAUUAAAGCGAGUUGCAUUUUUUGUAAAUCGUAUAUGAGAAAAAGGUUAUUUUCUGUUUUAAUAAAAUAGAUGCCUAAAUAUACUGAGAUUUUAAUUAUGUUAAGAGAUUUUGAACAUAAGCAGAUGAGGUUCUCGUGUCGGGCAUGAAAUAUAUCCAAUAUUUUUAAUAAAUAAUUAUUUAAUUAUGUCUGAUGGAAAUAAAUAAUCUAAUAAAAAUAAAUAUUUAUCUGGUAAAAUUAAAAUUUUGCAGAAUUUAUAAAAAAUAAAUAUUUAUUUAAUUUCUAUGGAAAUUAGUAAGAAUAUUUUUUGGUUUUUGACGAAAAUAUAUAUACAUAUAUAUAUAUUCAAACUUUUUAGAAAUUUUCUGAAGAAAGUAUAAAAAAAAUAUUUAUUGAAUUUGUCGGAAUCGUCGCAAAUUCGUCAUAUUUUUGACAGGAUUUAGUUCCAUUGAAAAUUCCAUCUGAAAUUCCUAUGUUUUUUUAUAGUGUAUCAUCCAUCACUACAAUGUAAACACGGAAAAUUGUGACUAUAUAUUUAGUGGCUAGCUUAACCACAGAACUAUUAUGAUCAUCUAGUGGCUAAAGUUUAGUGCAUAGGCAGCUACCAUAUUAUGAUCACAUUUUUAAAUAUCUAAUCGUGGUCAUUUUUCAUAUAGUCAAGGAAUGAAAAGUUGGUGGCUAUAGAAUUUUCUUUUAACCGUGGAGACUUUUCUGCCUAAUAGUUUGAGAGAGAGAGAGAAACAAAGCAGAGAUCCACACGGAUAAAAGACUGUAAAAGAGAUAAAAUUAGAGUGUGACAGAGGGUUUUAUUUUUUUCCAUCUCUUAGAGAUGUUGUAUAGUUGUUGUUUCUUCUCUAGAUUCAGUUGUCGUUAAAUGCUUCAUGGCACUUCUCUAACAACUGUUCUACUUUGUUUUUUUUUGGUAUAACACUGUUCUACUUUGUUGCACAUAAAAAAAUGUUCUACCCAAAAGGAAAGGAUUUGGAUGCAUCUCUGACUAGUCUCCGAUCAAAAGAGAUAACUCAUCGUUUGUUAUGUUUCAGGUUUGAUUGAGAGAUGAAAAAAUAUAAUGAUAAUCAUAUUAGCUUCCUCAGUUUUAUUAAAAAAAAUAAAGCUGCACGCGCAAGUAUAGAGAUUGCAGUUUGUGUUACCUUUUGGUAAACAUAAGAAGGUGGAUUUCUUGUAUCGGGC
rnacentral:lncRNA from 1 species